rnacentral:rRNA from 1 species
UACGGAGGAUGCAAGCGUUAUCCGGAAUGAUUGGGCGUAAAGCGUCCGCAGGUGGCCAUGUAAGUCUGCUGUCAAAGCGUCUGGCUCAACCAGAUAAAGGCAGUGGAAACUACAUAGCUAGAGUAAGGUAGGGGUAGAGGGAAUUCCUGGUGUAGCGGUGAAAUGCGUAGAGAUCAGGAAGAACACCGGUAGCGAAAGCGCUCUGCUGGACCUUAACUGACACUGAGGGACGAAAGCUAGGGGAGCGAAUGGG